GCAACGUUUGCGGACGGGCGGAAUCCAGUGAAGUCCUGAACUUGUUGCGAAGCCGCACGCACGCGGCUGCAGAAGCGUCCCGGAGCUGUCAGGCGUUGCGCGCAGCUCUUCAGGUUCUCCGGGGUCCCGGGUGGAGCACGCCCAGACUAAUCCAGCAGACAAACAACUCGGGAGAUUAACCUGCUUUAGCCUCGUAAAAGUAGUUUUCGUCUGCGCAGCCGGAAGCCCGUUUUUUUUUUUUUUUAAUUUUGCGAUUAUUGUUGUCACAUGGCUUUGGAGAAUUCAAUAACAACAAAAAAUGGCGACAAUCACGUUGCUCCGUGUGGUCUUGCUGCGUCAUUAAAAAUAUUCACGUAAACACGGUGAAUCAAACGGGGAGAUCGCAGGCAAGUGAGUAUAAUAUGUGUUGUACAUUGCAUGUGGACUGAAUGGAAUUGAGAAUUACUAAUUAUAUUUCAAUCUUACAGCGUGGUGUUUGUUUUUGCCCAGGAAAGGGGUGUGUACGCAUUGCUGGGCGUUAACGUUUGGCUGCACAAUAUCCACAGAACAGUGCACUUAUACUUCGUCAAGCAGCUUUUCAAAGAGCACAUUCGUCCCAAAUAAAGCAGAGUCUCUUGUUACAGCGGAGCGUUCAGCCGUCACGGCGUGUUUGUCCGCUGCCAUAUUUAGUUAUUUUUACGCAUGUUGGCUUUGCUUUUUCUGACAUCAGCGGGUUUUUUGGCCAGUGCCCACGAGCCGCGGGCUAAUGGAGUUGUUUUCAUGAAGCGCGGAGGGCGGACCGUCGGGGAGGAGGAGCCGCCGCUAUCGCCGAAGGGGGGCGGAGCCUGCGAAGAGAAUCAUAACAAGUCUGACGUCACUCGGCCUUGUGGUUUGUAUGAAUAAUAUGCGGGUCUCUACCAAGUCCUAGCAGGAAAACGGUUUGGAGAAGAAGAAAAAAAGGGAAUAGAAAGUGGAUGUUGUUGUUAAAAUGGAAAAUAAUGAGAAAAAAAAAGACUUUCGAAAUAGAUGAAAUAAUUAAAUCUGAUCAAAUACAUGAGAAUAGAGAGCAAGCUUCCUCCUUCAAUUUCCAUGAACUGUAGUGUUGUUUUAAUGAUAUAUUUACAAACAGAGUAACAUAGUGUUUAAUUUGCAUGUGAGCGAGUUUGCAUUAACUGUCCUGCUAGUAAUAAUAUGCGAUGUAUGCAUGUCAGCUUUCUCCUUGAACUUCUAUGACUCACUGCUCACUGCACUUCUCAGAAUCUAGAAUAUAUUAUAAACUCAAACAGCAGUAUGUUGUAUGAAGGAAACCUGAAUCAUCUGGAUGAGCCUGUGUAAGGACUUGUUUAUUUCUGUUCCCUUGAUUCAACUACAAAAAAUAGUUUAGGCUUUGUACCCUCUUCUCUACCACCAACUAUGAUGCAAAAAAUGCAAAAAGCCUUUGGUUGUAUUCACACCUGGUGGCCUGGACGGUGGACGGUAACUGGAACAAAGAUCUGCCAGAUUUGUCAGGCUGCCCUGGUUCAGUUAUCAAAGUGCUGAUGCUGUCCCCAUCGAAGGUACAGUACUGUGAUAACUGAAGGAUGGCUGCCAUCUUUACACGAGUGCGGUUAAUCGUAGCCUAACAAAAAAGUGAGUAUGUUUAAAAAAAUGGUAUUUUCUUUGUGGAAUAGGAUAUCCUAUUGUCCAUGUUUCUAAUUACUAAAUGGUUUUAACUCACCAAACUAGAUUGCACAGUUAAAAUGUUUUAAGCUUGAUUGUUUGUAUAAAUAUAAAAAACAUUCACCUUUACAUAAGAAUGCACUUCUAUAACUUCUGCUUCACAAUAACAAUUAAAGGGAACUGUACUUUAUUAAAAAUGGUAUGGUCCUUUAUUCAUCUUUAUCUUAUACAAAUCUCUUAUUUAUUAUUAUGAUCUUAAAUACAGAAGGUUACAGCCAGAAAAACUAUUGAGUGACUGAAGUCUCUAUUCUCUCAGUUUUGAGAUUACAUUGAACACCUUCUAAUUGUUAUCUCAAUAGCAUUAACAGCAAAGUUAAUUUAGCAUCAAAACAAAAGUACAUCAUAAUAACUUCACAAAGAAAACCUACAUUUAGUGUGUCCUUUAUUGUCCUCCCCCUAUCCCCCCCGACACCUCUGCUCCCAUAAGUCAAAUGUUUAGGAACCCUACAAUGCAACAUAAGUCCUCGCACCUGAUGAAUACAAAGUUUUGAAUAAAAGUGGUUCUUGAGGUUUGGUCCUAAUGAAACCAUUAGGACCAAUCUGAACUGUUUACCAAUGGGAGUGCUGGUCUGCAGGCUGAAACGGAAGGCGGCUCUGACUCGGUUGUUUCACAUUGUUGUCAGUAGAGAGAGCUAUAGAUCUAUAAAUGGUGUGCCUUGGUUCUAAAUAACAAGGCGUACAGCUCCUCCCCACUGUUCUUGUAAACCUUGAUGAUGAAUAUGAUGAUUAAAAACUUGUCAAAACAA